UGGGGAAUAUUGGACAAUGGGCGAAAGCCUGAUCCAGCCAUGCCGCGUGUGUGAAGAAGGUCUUCGGAUUGUAAAGCACUUUAAGUUGGGAGGAAGGGCAUUAACCUAAUACGUUAGUGUUUUGACGUUACCGACAGAAUAAGCACCGGCUAACUCUGUGCCAGCAGCCGCGGUAAUACAGAGGGUGCAAGCGUUAAUCGGAAUUACUGGGCGUAAAGCGCGCGUAGGUGGUUUGUUAAGUUGGAUGUGAAAUCCCCGGGCUCAACCUAGGAACUGCAUUCAAAACUGACUGACUAGAGUAUGGUAGAGGGUGGUGGAAUUUCCUGUGUAGCGGUGAAAUGCGUAGAUAUAGGAAGGAACACCAGUGGCGAAGGCGACCACCUGGACUAAUACUGACACUGAGGUGCGAAAGCGUGGGGAGCAAACA
rnacentral:rRNA from 1 species